UUUAAACACUUACAGACUUACCCCGAUUUUCAAUCAUAAAUUCUCAACCUGGCAAUGAAUUUUCAACUGAAUGGAUUGAACAAUGUAGAUUGCAAAUAUCAGAAAGUCUCAGUCCACGAGAAGGAAAAGUGGAGUCGCUAGCCCAAUACAAGUCAAAUUAGAUCGCAAUGAAGGUAAGGGAAAUCCAAGACGAGGUCUUCGAGUGACAAUGCACCGCAUGCCUAUGAAUUCCAUGUCAUGCUGCCACCACCAUGAAAACAUACUCUAAGCUCUACUUAUUUUGUUAAUUUCUCUCACCAUUUCUUUUCUUUGUUCAUUUUCUCCUGUUUUCUAUUGUAAGGACUAUUAAGGGUUCAAUUUGUUUUGCAUAUGUUUUAUUUUUUGCCAAAAAUUUGCACUUUUUCUUAUGGGUAGCUCAAGAUUUACAGGAUGCUUACUGUCAACAAGAUCGCUGAGGUUCUAUUUGGAAAUAUAUAAGAGAUGUGGGGUUUAGCAAACCGUGAAUGAUCAAAAGGGUAUUGACCAGGAGUUGUUACUGAUUGGGGAGUUGACCAUGCAUCCUGUGUUUUUUUGGUUUAGCUUCAGAGGAAAGAAGAAGAGUUCUUCAGUAAAGAACUUCAAAGAUGGGAUUUUGAAGAGCUCCAGAAAGGAAAUAAGUCUCUCUGAUAGAGAUAAUCAUUUUUUGGUGCUGGUGUUGCUGGUUCACCUUUUGCUUACACUCAUGGCAAGGCACAACUCUCUCUAUCGCUUUAGAAGUAUCAGGUUGCAUCCUUUUUCUCCAUGUUUUAUACUGCCAAAGGGUGUCCAGGUUAUCACUAACAAAAAAAGAAAAAUUUGGAAAUGACUAAAUUCCUUUUUUUUUUUAAGUAUGGUCUGCAACCUUCUUUUGCUACUUACUGCAGAGGAUGCCAAGUGCAUAUAAUUGAAACGGAAUUGACUGAGCGUGAUAGAAUUGCUGGUGAACUCCUACAGCCUGGGGGCUAUCUAAAAUUAAUUGAGUUGGGUCUUGAGUAUGAGAAACUCAGCAACACUACAAAUUUUAAGAACGAGCUUAUAUAUUUGAAGAUUUUAUAUGUUACACCUUUGGCUUUUGGCAUAAUAUGUGAAAUCUCUAAUUACCUAUCUUUCUGGCAUUGGAGGAUAUAUUUGUGGAUGUAGAUUGUGUUGAACAGAUUGAUGAUCAAUGAGUAUUUGGAUAUACUAUUUACAAGGAUGGCAAAAAGCACUAAGCUCUCCUAAUCUUUGCAAAGUUUUGUGUUGGAUGAAGUUUUUACAGCAGACGUUUCAUACAAAGAAUAUGUGAGAAGGCUGCAACUCUUCCCAAGUAAUAUUUCUUUCUUCUUAUGUAUAUUCUGCUUUCUAGUCCAAGAAAAUGAUAUUGCAGUGAAAAAUAGAUAUGAAUUCAACAAUGAAGGGUGCAGCGAAUUUGCUAGCAUUCAUUCAUGGAUGUAUCUCUUUCUUUUUUAUUUUUCUUUUUUCUUUUUUGGGAAAAUUAUUUUUCAUUCUCUUUCUUGAACUUUUAUAUAGUAUAACAUUGGAAUAAGAACAGUAUUAUCUC